rnacentral:rRNA from 1 species
AGUGAACGCUGGCGGUAGGCCUAACACAUGCAAGUCGAACGGCAGCACAGUAAGAGCUUGCUCUUACGGGUGGCGAGUGGCGGACGGGUGAGGAAACAUCGGAAUCUACUUUUUCGUGGGGGAUAACGUAGGGAAACUUACGCUAAUACCGCAUACGACCUACGGGUGAAAGCAGGGGAUCUUCGGACCUUGCGCGAUUGAAUGAGCCGAUGUCGGAUUAGCUAGUUGGCGGGGUAAAGGCCCACCAAGGCGACGAUCCGUAGCUGGUCUGAGAGGAUGAUCAGCCACACUGGAACUGAGACACGGUCCAGACUCCUACGGGAGGCAGCAGUGGGGAAUAUUGGACAAUGGGCGCAAGCCUGAUCCAGCCAUACCGCGUGGGUGAAGAAGGCCUUCGGGUUGUAAAGCCCUUUUGUUGGGAAAGAAAAGCAGCAGGUUAAUACCCCGCUGUUCUGACGGUACCCAAAGAAUAAGCACCGGCUAACUUCGUG